rnacentral:rRNA from 1 species
UACGGGGGGGGCAAGCGUUGUUCGGAAUUACUGGGCGUAAAGGGCUCGUAGGCGGCCAACUAAGUCAGACGUGAAAUCCCCAGGCUCAACCUGGGAACUGCGUCUGAUACUGGAUGGCUUGAAUCCGGGAGAGGGAUGCAGAAUUCCAGGUGUAGCGGUGAAAUGCGUAGAUAUCUGGAGGAACACCGGUGGCGAAGGCGGCAUUCUGGACCGAUAUUGACGCUGAGGAGCGAAAGCCAGGGGAGCAAACGGG